rnacentral:rRNA from 1 species
AGAGUUUGAUCAUGGCUCAGGACGAACGCUGGCGGCGUGCUUAACACAUGCAAGUCGCACGGAAGCAGCAAUGCUUCAGUGGCGAACGGGUGCGUAACACGUGAGAAAUCUGUCCAUCGGCGGGGGAUAGCCGGCCCAACGGCCGGGUAAUACCGCGUACGUCGGCGAGAACGCAUGUUCUUGCCGGGAAAGCAGCAAUGCACCGAUGGAGGAUCUCGCGGCCUAUCAGCUUGUUGGCGGGGUAAUGGCCCACCAAGGCGACGACGGGUAGCUGGUCUGAGAGGAUGAUCAGCCACAUUGGGACUGAGACACGGCCCAGACUCCUACGGGAGGCAGCAGUGGGGAAUAUUGCGCAAUGGGCGAAAGCCUGACGCAGCGACGCCGCGUGUGGGAUGAAGGCCUUCGGGUUGUAAACCACUGUCGGGGGGGACGAAACAAAUGACGGUACCCCCAAAGGAAGCACCGGCUAACUCUGUGCCAGCAGCCGCGGUAAUACAGAGGGUGCGAGCGUUGUCCGGAAUUACUGGGCGUAAAGGGCGCGUAGGCGGCUUGAUAAGUAGGAGGUGAAAUUCCAUGGCUCAACCAUGGAUCGGCCUUCUAGACUGUCAGGCUUGAGCACGGUAGAGGCGGAUGGAAUUCCCGGUGUAGCGGUGGAAUGCGUAGAGAUCGGGAAGAACACCAGUGGCGAAGGCGGUCUGCUGGGCCGUUGCUGACGCUGAGGCGCGACAGCGUGGGGAGCAAACAGGAUUAGAUACCCUGGUAGUCCACGCCGUAAACGAUGGGCACUAGGCGUCGGGGGGAGCGACCCUCCCGGUGCCGUAGCUAACGCUCUAAGUGCCCCGCCUGGGGAGUACGGCCGCAAGGCUGAAACUCAAAGGAAUUGACGGGGGCCCGCACAAGCGGUGGAGCAUGUGGGUUUAAUUCGAAGCAACGCGAAGAACCUUACCAGGGCUUGACAUGACCAGGAUCCCGGCGGAAACGUCGGUCCCGCAGGGCUGGUACAGGUGUUGCAUGGCUGUCGUCAGCUCGUGUCUGAGAUGUUGGUAGUCCCGCACGAGGCGCACCCCCCUACUGGUGUGGUUGUAUCACCUCACACGGGACCUGGCCGGAGAGUA